rnacentral:rRNA from 1 species
CAGCGCCACGAGUGGCAAUCACGUUUAUUGGGCCUAAAGCGUCCGUAGCCGAUUUAAUAAGUCUUUUGUGAAAUCGUUAAGCUUAACUUAACGGGGUGCAAGAGAGACUGUUAGAUUUGGAACCGGGAAGGGUCAGAGGUAUUCUUAGGGAAGCGGUAAAAUGCAAUAAUCCUAAGAGGACCACCUGUGGCGAAGGCGUCUGACUAGAACGGAUUCGACGGUGAGGGACGAAAGCUAGGGGAGCAAAACGGAUUAGAGACCCGAGUAGUCC